rnacentral:rRNA from 1 species
UGGGGAAUAUUGCACAAUGGGGGAAACCCUGAUGCAGCGACGCCGCGUGAGCGAAGAAGGCUUUCGAGUCGUAAAGCUCUGUCCUAUGAGAAGAUAAUGACGGUAUCAUAGGAGGAAGCCCUGGCUAAAUACGUGCCAGCAGCCGCGGUAAUACGUAUGGGGCGAGCGUUGUCCGGAAUUAUUGGGCGUAAAGGGUACGUAGGCGGUUUGUCACGUCGUCUGUGAAAUCCUAGGGCUUAACCCUGGACGUGCAGGCGAUACGGGCUGACUUGAGUACUACAGGGGAGACUGGAAUUUCUGGUGUAGCGGUGGAAUGCACAGAUAUCAGGAAGAACACCGAUGGCGAAGGCAGGUCUCUGGGUAGUAACUGACGCUGAGGAGCGAAAGCAUGGGUAGCGAACAGG